GGAGAAAAGUUAAGGUGAGUUCGGGAUUCAGUAACAUAUUGUUAUUUUCUUAAAAUUUAUGAAAAAUUUGUUCUAAAAAUAUUGGUUAUAUGUAAAACUUUAACAUUUCUUCAAAAUAUAAACAGUUUAUUUUAAUAUAAUAUAUAUUCUUAAAGAAACGGGCUUUAUUGGCAAAUUCCAGACUAAUUAAGAUUUAUAUUUAUGAGUAUUUUUAACUGUGGUAUAUUGGUAAGGUGCAAAUAAGCAACCAUGUCAAAAAAUGGAAUCCAGAAAAAGCUUAUUCAAGAAAACUGGCGACAAGUUUUAUAAAUUUGCAAAAUUGAACCAUGGUAAAAAGAUUGAAUUUUAUCAGCGCAACGAAAAUUUUAACAAGUUAAACGAUAAUUUCUGUGAUGGUGAGGACGGUGAUGAGCUGAGAACAUCAUCUUGCUCGAAUUUGCUUCCGUUGUAAAAAUUUAUUCAUCAUUUGUGCAAGGACCAUCUUCCUGAAAUAAAUAAUGAAAAUGCAUGCAACAUGCGUUUACAAAAACAGAUGGAAGUUAUUAAAAUGGACUUAAAGGUAACACAGGAUGACGAUGAAAAUUAAUAUUUAAAUGGCUUCGAAAGAGUUGAAAGGUAUUCCAUAAAAAUUUAUUCCAAACUACCAAGAUGUCAGCGAUAAUUUGAAGAUAUGCAAAACAUCCACCAUUGUGGGAUAAAAGAAAGAGAAUAUAUUUAAAAAAUAUAGUCUCGAACGUGGGCAUGCCAAUUCCUAUUUAAACAUCAAGCUGAGGUCAUUUGUAUGCAAAUUUAUGAAGUCAAAGGUCGGGAAUAUACACUCACUUGGCUCGCAAACUGAUAAUUUAAAUAUAUUGAUAUAAGUACUUUGUUAUGCCCAAACCAAAUUAGCUUGUAACUAAAUAAAAACAUGAAUUUUUCUGUACCAAACAAUA